rfam:Echinops telfairi cont1.553532, whole genome shotgun sequence.
CCUGCCCCGUGAGCAGGGGACAGCCCUCCAAAGGAGGGUUCUGUUGAAUGUAUGCGACAAAGAAAAACAACUCCCUGAGCUGCCUGUUUGAUAGCCCUUCAGCACAGCUAAAUGAUGUCUU